rnacentral:rRNA from 1 species
AUUGAACGCUGGCGGCAUGCCUUACACAUGCAAGUCGAACGGCAGCAUGGAGAGCUUGCUCUCUGAUGGCGAGUGGCGAACGGGUGAGUAAAGCAUCGGAACGUACCGUGUAGUGGGGGAUAGCGUAGCGAAAGUUACGCUAAUACCGCAUACGCACUGAGGUGGAAAGCAGGGGAUCGUAAGACCUUGCGCUAUACGAGCGGCCGAUGUCAGAUUAGCUAGUUGGUAGGGUAAAGGCCUACCAAGGCGACGAUCUGUAGCGGGUCUGAGAGGAUGAUCCGCCACACUGGGACUGAGACACGGCCCAGACUCCUACGGGAGGCAGCAGUGGGGAAUUUUGGACAAUGGGGCAACCCUGAUCCAGCCAUGCCGCGUGAGUGAAGAAGGCCUUCGGGUUGUAAAGCUCUUUCGGCCGGGAAGAAAUCGCACAGGCUAAUACCCUGUGUGGAUGGCGGUACCGGCAUAAGAAGCACCGGCUAACUACGUGCCAGCCGCCGCGGUAA